GGGUGAAGGUGGCGGACGGGUGAGUAACGCGUAAAGAACUUGCCUUACAGACUGGGACAACAUUUGGAAACGAAUGCUAAUACCGGAUAUUAUGACUGAGUCGCAUGAUUUGGUUAUGAAAGCUAUAUGCGCUGUGAGAGAGCUUUGCGUCCCAUUAGUUAGUUGGUGAGGUAACGGCUCACCAAGACGAUGAUGGGUAGCCGGCCUGAGAGGGUGAACGGCCACAAGGGGACUGAGACACGGCCUUACUCCUACGGGAGGCAGCAGUGGGGAAUAUUGGACAAUGGACCAAAAGUCUGAUCCAGCAAUUCUGUGUGCACGAUGAAGUUUUUCGGAAUGUAAAGUGCUUUCAGUUGGGAAGAAGUCAGUGACGGUACCAACAGAAGAAGCGACGGCUAAAUACGUGCCAGAGCCGCGGUAAUACGUAUGUCGCAAGCGUUAUCCGGAUUUUAUUGGGCGUAAAGCGCGUCUAGGCGGUCUUAGUAAGUCUGAUGUGAAAAUGCGGGGCUCAACCCCGUAUUGCGUUGGAAACUGCUAAACUAGAGUACUGGAGCCCCUAGGCGGAACUACAAGUGUAGAGGUGAAAUUCGUAGAUAUUUGUAGGAAUGCCGAUGGGGAAGCCAGCCUACUGGUACUAGAUACUGACGCUAAAGCGCGAAAGCGUGGGUAGCAAACAGGAUUAGAUACCCUGGUAGUCCACGCCGUAAACGAUCCCCCCCUAGUGUUUGGGGUCGAACCUCAGCG
rnacentral:rRNA from 1 species